rnacentral:rRNA from 1 species
GACGAACGCUGGCGGCGUGCUUAACACAUGCAAGUCGAACGAAGUGGCGAACGGGUGAGUAACGCGUAAUCAACCUGCCCUUCAGAGGGGGACAACAGUAGGAAACGACUGCUAAUACCGCAUACUGAAGGAGGGGAUUGCGUCUGAUUGGCUAGGUGGAGGGGUAACGGCCCACCAAGGCGAUGAUCAGUAGCCGGUCUGAUGAGGUGAACUGACACAAUUGGACUGAGACACGGCCCAGACUCCUACGGGAGGCAGCAAGGGGGGAUCUUCCGCAAUGGGGGAAAGUCUGACGGAGCAACGCCGCGUGAGUGAUGACGGCCUUCGGGUUGUAAAGCUCUGUUAAUCGGGACGCGGUACCGGAAUAGAAAGCCACGGCUAACUACGUGCCAGCAGCCGCGGUAAUAC